rnacentral:lncRNA from 13 species
UCCCAGCUACUCAGUAGGCUGAGGCAGGAGAAUCGCUUGAACCUGGGAGGCGGAGGUUGUACUGAGCCAAGAUGGUGCCACUGCACUCCAGCCUGGGAGACAGGACGAGACUCCGUCUCAAAAAAAAAAAAAAGGGUGAGCCAAUUUGGAGGCACAGCUGGCUUACAGGGUAGAGAGGAGCAGUGUGCUGGGGACCAGCUGAACUUGUCUGUCCUGCUGAGGAUGAGCACAACAGGAGACUGUGCUAUCCCACCUUCCUCCUGGGACCCAGGAAGGCCUGGGAAGGUCCCCAAGGGGGAAACAGAAGCUCUGCAGAGCAUGGCCCACCGCCUCGCCACAACGUCUUUUCAGAUCUUGCUGCACCCUGGAUAGGAAACUUGAAAGGGAAAGUGAUAAGCCAAAUGCUUUGAAGAUGAGGAGCACAUUACUCAAAGCCUGCGAUCUCCCCCUUGGCUUUUGUUUUGGCGGAUAUUACAGCCGCCUUGAGCCGUUUUCAUUAGGAUUGCUCGUGAAGCUUGCGGAGUUGCUGUCUGUGGCUUCCUGAGGAGACAAGUGGGGGGGUGGUGAGAGAGAGAGAGAGGUGUAGGGGGCGGGAGAGGGGUGUGUGUGUGUGUGUGAGAGAGAGAGAGAGAGAGCACUUACAGGGGAGACUCAGGUGGACCUGCCAUGCCUCACCCUGUCCUUCCCUAGUCUGUCUACUCUGUCCUGGCUCUCAUGAGGAAUCUGGCCUGUCCCUCACAGAAGAGCAGCUCCCAUUGACUGAGUCAUCACCAUGCUCUGAGCACUGUGCCAAGGGCUUUAUCUAGCAAACCUCAAUGGAUUAACCCUUGGCAGAACUUCCAUCUCUGCUUUUCCCUACAUCGCCUCUAACCGGUGCAUCCAGGGGCUAUCGUGCGCUCAUCCCCCUGGCUCUUCAAGACCCCCCGAUGCCCACCACCCGGAUCCUUUGCUUUGAUGACUACUUCCUUGUCUCAGAAGACGGUGUCGUGCCCAGCCCGCAGGAAAUCCAGGGGUCACCUUUGACU